UAUAUAUAUAUAUAUGUGCGUGUGUGUGAACUACACACAAGACAGAAAAAAUGUCAAAAAGACAGGUCGGUUCCUCUCCAAUUUUUUGUAAAUUCUUAAAUAUAUCUCCCUCAGUGUAUAUAUAUACUACCAAACAAACAUGAUUUUUAUUGAACUCCUAAUACUUUUUGUUGAAUACUUUCUUAACCCUUUCAUUACUAACCUGGCCAUAGCUGGCCGAGAGCACCUAUUGUUAUUUAAAUGUAAAUUUGAACCCAAAUCUUGUUGGUACAUUCAUUAAAACACAUGAUUUCACUUUGCUAACAGUUAAGUUAUUGUAUCUGACAUUGUUUGGCAUGAUAUUUGAACUCAAUGAAUUUUGGAAGAUUUUUUUUCUACAUUUUUUGGGGUGUUAAUUUUUUUCUAGCUUUGAAAAUGUAGAGGAGUUUCAUGCUAUCAAGCAGUGAUUCCGAAUUUGAAGGAUUUUCAACAGAAGAUAUGGAGAUAUUGAGGAAAAGAAUGAAUGAGGUGCAAAAGCACAUGGUGGACGAAAAUGAAUUUGAUAUUUCUGUAUCCAAAACCAGAAGCGAAAAUCGAAGAAACUAAAAGCAGUGACAUAGAUAGCAAGGAUGAUUUUACACCAGAAUGGAGUAAAAAGUUUUUAAAAAGUUUUUAUUAACAAUUUUGCUGAGGAGACAGGGUUUACCCAUAGUCUUUCUCAGGAAGCAAAACCAUUAGACUGUUUCUUUAUAUUUUUUCCAUCAUGCCUGUUUGAAGCAAUCACUGCGGAAACAAACCAUUACACAGAAUGUAAACAAGCUGGAAAACAAGACAGCUUGUGGUUUCCUACAACUGUAGAUGAAAUACGGGCAUUUUUGGCCAUAAAUAUUAUUAUGGGUAUUAGACAGUUACCCAGAAUUACAAAUUACUGGAGCAAUAAGGAACCUUUUGGCGAUCAGUAUGUUUCCAGUAUUAUGACCCGAAUACAAUUUGUGAAACUGAACCAAUAUUUACAUGUGAGAGACACUAGCAGUGCCCUAGUUUAUGGAGAAGCAAACUUUGAUCCCUUAUUCAAAAUAAGACCCCUCAUUGACUGCGUUCAAAAUGCAUAUAAAACAUUUUACAACUCUGGGAGAUACUUAUCCAUUGA